GACAAAGUGUGUAAUCCUCUGUGCCUCAGU
rnacentral:piRNA from 1 species